rnacentral:rRNA from 1 species
GGGUGAGUAAUAUAUCGGAACGUGCCCAGUCGUGGGGGAUAACGUAGAGAAAUUUACGCUAAUACCGCAUACGAUCUAAGGAUGAAAGCGGGGGACCUUCGGGCCUCGCGCGAUUGGAGCGGCUGAUAUCAGAUUAGGUUGUUGGUGAGGUAAAAGCUCACCAAGCCGACGAUCUGUAGCUGGUUUGAGAGAACGACCAGCCACACUGGGACUGAGACACGGCCCAGACUCCUACGGGAGGCAGCAGUGGGGAAUUUUGGACAAUGGGCGAAAGCCUGAUCCAGCAAUGCCGCGUGCAGGAAGAAGGCCUUCGGGUUGUAAACUGCUUUUGUACGGAACGAAAAGGCCAGCCCUAAUACGGCAGGCCCAUGACGGUACCGUAAGAAUAAGCACCGGCUAACUACGUGCCAGCAGCCGCGGUAAUACGUAGGGUGCGAGCGUUAAUCGGAAUUACUGGGCGUAAAGCGUGCGCAGGCGGUUGUGUAAGACAGUUGUGAAAUCCCCGGGCUCAACCUGGGAAUUGCAUCUGUGACUGCACAGCUAGAGUACGGUAGAGGGGGAUGGAAUUCCGCGUGUAGCA